ensembl:lncRNA
UGCGGGUCAAUUGCAGACUGGAGGAAUUGAGUGGCUUCCAUUUGGGGCUUUUGCAGUAUUUCGCUACAGAAAGGAUGGAAACGAGUACAAAAUGGAAGUGUAUUUCCUCCAAAAAAGAAAUGCAUCGGAAAUAGAGGUGAAUCAAAAUGCAGAGGUGGAAAUGACCACAGUGGCACCACGUCGCCUCGACCAUCCGUCAGCAUCCGCGAUAGUAAGGGAGAUGCCGGACCCACUCUGUAUGAUCGUCGGCCAUGAUUUGUUUCUUUCAGGUCUUUUUGCGGUCUGGACUUGCUGUCACAUGACAAUCCAGGAAGCCCUUACCCCAAAAAGCAUCUGCAAGAGGCCCUAACAACCAGGAUGGUUCACACAUGUUUUCAUGUUGACAUAGGGCUUCACAACAUAUAAAUUGAAAUCUAACUCUUUACAUUUAUGUUAAGCGUGAGUAGCAUGAGUACAGCGUGAGUACAUUAGUGUGCAUUUGACUUCCUCAUUCCAACGAAAAAAGUCAGUGUGCGUGUCAAAAUUCACACAGUACCUGUCGUUAAAUAGUUUGAGUAAAUGUAAAUCACUCACCCUGAUUUUGACGGUUCCACUCAAAAACCAGCAGGAGAUAAGAAUUAAGACCCUUAAAUGUAAUGUAAAUGCAUGUGAAGUGAGACAUUGUUCUUCCACGAGGUGGCAGUGAGGCUCUGUUCCUUUUUCCUUUUUUGGACUCGGAAACAAAACUUGGAAAUCUCACUUACCCAUAAUAUAUUCAAAGACACACCAGUAACCCAGUUGGGGCGUGUGUCUGGUUAUUUCCAGCAUAAUAAGUAAUACAAAUGUGGUGGCAUAUGUUUUUCCUUAAAGUGAAUGACGCUUUUUGGCCUAUUGUUAACAUGUCUGGAAUCAAUAAAUAAUUCCUUUAGAAAUUUGUCAUUUCAAGAGUGAAAAA